AAGGCAAUAUCUGGGACUGUAUGACAGCCGGGCCCACGAGGAUGGCCUCCCCGCUGGGCACACUCAGGUGGGGGCAGCAAGGAUGCAUUGACCAGGCCUAGGUCCUGUGUGGAGAGGUCAUCCAGGUUGGGAUUAUGGGCAGUGGGAUAAAGGUCCACCGAUGCCCACUGAGACUGAGGACACCAGAUAAGAGAUCUCCAGCCAUAGCAAAUGGUUGGGCCUCAGUGGCCUAUGAAGGGUCAGAAGAGCCUGGAACCACUGACUUCUUUGACCUCCACCCUCUCUUUCUCAGGCCCUCCCAGGAACAGGCCCUCACCAUGCUCAAGAUGUCAUCUCUGUCUUUAGGGUUUGUGCUUGUCCACUGAGACUCAUUUCCUGGGAAGCAGAGAAUUCAAGUGAGUUUUCUUCCCCUGGGAACCUUCUCCAGCCCUAAUUAGAAGCCUAAUUUCACAGGUCCAGCUGAACCAGAGAGUUCUUUGUUCUGACUCAUCUGUCUGCUGACUCCAAUCACUACCCAGUCUAUUCUCAGGACACUGCCUCUUGCCCUUAUCCCUUCAAAUUCCCUCCCUAUCUGUAUCCCUGGUGGCUGGCACAGGACCGGCCAAAGCAAGUGCCUAGUAAAUGACUGAGCACACACAUCUGUGUGUUUCCACCAGCAUCAGAAUUAUUGUUGUUCGUGCCUGGUACAGAGUCUGGCACUCUUGAGAGGAUGCCUAUUCCCCAGUCCUGGUGUUCCUGGCCAUGUGGAAGGAAAUGUGCUGGUGCAAUAGUCCGAGCUCCUCUCCACCCUGUCACUCACAUGGCCCAGGGGAAGAGCGGUGAUUUAUUUGGUUGGUGACUUUGGGAGAAGAAGCUGGGCAUGCCUGGUCCUGCCCCUUCCUCUUCCUCUCUAGGGAGUAAGCACCCUGCAUGCAUUGAGCUCUGCUCCUCUAGGGUGAGACAGUCCCUGUCCAGCAUGGCCACGACUCACUGGCAGAAGUAAAAGAAGAAAUUGGGCCUGCUCUGUUGACUUAUUUUUCAUCUGACUCAGAACCAAAAAAGGAAGUUUGCUGCUGGCUACUGGCAUCAUAGAUGAAGAUGAGACUGAUGAGAGCACAGAAGCCUUCCUCGGUGAAGCGGGUAAAGUAGCGCACCAGCACGCUGGCCUCCGUGGCCACCAGCACCAGGCAAAAGAUGGCCACCCAGAUGCCAACCCACAGGCGGAAGGGCAGGUAAUCCAGGCUGUGAUCUCUGGGGGAGGUGAGAGUCAGCAGGGUUUGCCUGGGCCCACUCUUAAUCCCAACCUAACCCAGGUCAGGUGCCCCUGGAGCCAGUUUCUACCCUCCCCUACUGACCCAGCUGAUACCAGGCUGAGGGUGUGCUAGUGAGGUCAGGUGAGGUGGGAA